rnacentral:tRNA from 1 species
GAGAUGAUAGCUCAGUGGUAGAGGACACACCCUGCACCUGUGAGGUCCUGGGUUCUAGCCGCAGCAUCCCC